GAUGAAGAACGUAGCGAAAUGCGAUACUUGGUGUGAAUUGCAGAAUCCCGUGAACCAUCGAGUCUUUGAACGCAAGUUACGCCCGAAGCCAUUAGGCCGAGGGCACGCCUGCCUGGGCGUCACACGUCGUUGCCCCCCCAUCUACUCCUUCGGGAUUGCGGGGGGCGGAUGAUGGCCUCCCGUGCGCCUCGUCGCGCGGUUGGCAUAAAUGCCAAGUCCUCGGCGACGCACGCCACGACAAUCGGUGGUUGCGAAACCUCGGUUGCCCGUCGUGUGCGGUCGUCGCGCAUCGAGGGCUCGAAAAAAUUGCCGGGCUCCGGCUCGGCUUUCAACGCGACCCCAGGUCAGGCGGGGUUACCCGCUGAAUUUAAGCAUAUCAAUAAGCGGAGGA
rnacentral:misc_RNA from 1 species